GAUGAACGCUGGCGGCGUGCUUAACACAUGCAAGUCGAACGGAAAGGCUCCUGCUUGCAGGGGUACUCGAGUGGCGAACGGGUGAGUAACACGUGGGUGAUCUGCCCUGCACUUCGGGAUAAGCCUGGGAAACUGGGUCUAAUACCGGAUAGGACGAUGGUUUGGAUGCCAUUGUGGAAAGUUUUUCGGUGUGGGAUGAGCUCGCGGCCUAUCAGCUUGUUGGUGGGGUAAUGGCCUACCAAGGCGUCGACGGGUAGCCGGCCUGAGAGGGUGUACGGCCACAUUGGGACUGAGAUACGGCCCAGACUCCUACGGGAGGCAGCAGUGGGGAAUAUUGCACAAUGGGCUCAAGCCUGAUGCAGCGACGCCGCGUGGGGGAUGACGGCCUUCGGUUUGUAAACUCCUUUCGCUAGGGACGAAGCGCAAGUGACGGUACCUGGAGAAGAAGCACCGGCUAACUACGUG
rnacentral:rRNA from 1 species